rnacentral:rRNA from 1 species
UACGUAGGGUGCGAGCGUUAAUCGGAAUUACUGGGCGUAAAGCGUGCGCAGGCGGCGCGUUAAGACAGGUGUGAAAGCCCCGAGCUUAACUUGGGAAUUGCGCUUGUGACUGGCGUGCUGGAGUGUGGCAGAGGGAGGUGGAAUUCCGACGUGUAGCAGUGAAAUGCGUAGAGAUGUGGAGGAACACCGAUGGCGAAGGCAGCCUCCUGGGCCAGCACUGACGCUCGAUGCACGAAAGCGUAGGGGAGCAAACAGG